rnacentral:rRNA from 1 species
UACGUAGGGGGCAAGCGUUGUCCGGAUUUAUUGGGCGUAAAGAGCGUGUAGGCGGCUUUGCAAGUCCGUUGUGAAAACUCGAGGCUCAACCUCGAGACGCCGGUGGAAACUGCAAAGCUAGAGUCCGGAAGAGGAGAGUGGAAUUCCUGGUGUAGCGGUGAAAUGCGCAGAUAUCAGGAAGAACACCAGUGGCGAAGGCGGCUCACUGGCCCGAUACUGACGCUGAGGCACGAAAGCGUGGGGAGCAAACAGG